AAGAGAGAGGGAUAGCAGCUGACCGCUCCAGGCUUGGCAUUCUGCUUUACCUGAUGGAAAAAUAGAAGGCAGCUGCUCCAUGUCAAUGGGUUUCCGAAGUUGGAGGAUCCCAAGCCGAUCUACACCUAACAUCAAUGAGGCCUCCAGUAAGGAUAUCACUGCUUCGCUGCACAGGAAUGUCCUGUCAUGGGGCGUGUGGAGGGGGCAACAAGGGAAGAAGGAGAGUACGUCCGUGUCUCUCCGAGCAGCAACGCCAUCCAAUGACUCGCAGAGA